UACCAGCACCCCCGAGUGGUCGGGACGAUUAUUGGGCCUAAAGCAUCCGUAGCCGGUUCUACAAGUCUUCCGUUAAAUCCACCUGCUUAACAGAUGGGCUGCGGAGGAUACUAUAGAGCUAGGAGGCGGGAGAGGCAAGCGGUACUUAGUGGGUAGGGGUAAAAUCCGUUGAUCCAUUGAAGACCACCAGUGGCGAAGGCGGCUUGCCAGAACGCACUCGACGGUGAGGGAUGAAAGCUGGGGGAGCAAACAGG
rnacentral:rRNA from 1 species